AGCUCAGAUUCUGUUUACUUCACUGUAACGUAGACUAAUUAUAGUGAUUUAUGCGCAUAAAUCUGUUUUUUAUUUGUGUGCAGUUAAUGGAUUUAUUUAAAGUUUCAUUUGAGCUUGUUUAAUUAUUUUAUUUAUGGAUCAAUAAUGGAUUUUGAUUGCUUCCACUUGCUUAAAUUUUAGGAAAAUUUUGAAGUCUAAGAAUUUAGGGUUUUGACUUAGUUCUUACGGUGAUUUAUGCACAUAAUUGUGUUUUAUUUACUGUUAGUGAGUAUUUAAGUUUUCAUUCGAGCUUUUCUAAAAAUUGUUUAUGGAUCAAAAAUGGAUUUUUGAUUGCUUCCACUUCUUAAAUUCAGUGAAUUUUUUUUAUCUUUGCAACUCAAGAAUGAUUGGGGUUUGUAUUUGAAAUUAGUAGGUGUUGAUGGUUUCAUUUUCAGCUAUUUUUCUUUAUUGUUUAUUGAACAAGAUUUGAAUUUGAUUGCUUCCACAGUGAAAUUCAGGCAAGUUUUAUCUUCACAAGUCAUAGAAUUUAGUGCUUUGACUUUUGUGUUUCCUUUUUCGGUUUGGUAUGCUGCUCGAGCACUUUCUUGCUAACCUAGUAAGUGAAUUAUCGCUUUGACUUUUGCAUAAGUCAGCCUAGUUUUAUGUUGACCUCACUGUAAUGUACAUAUGCAUUACAGUAAUACAGUAAUAUAUGCAUGUGAUUGUAUUUUAUUUGCAAUUAGUGGGUGGUUAAGGUUUUAUCUUGUUCCGUGAUCAGAUUUUAACUUAUUGCUUCUGCAGCUAAAAAUUGGGAAAAUCAUGUUCUUUGCAAGUUUAAUAAUUUUAGUUUCAGACGCAUACAGAUAUGCUCAGGAAACCUUUUCUGGAUAACUACUUCAGUUAGCACAUGUGAGCACAUCCACUAGGAAGCAUAAUGAAAAAUAUUCAGGUAACAAAGAGGUUUGCCUUUUGAUUUCAUUCUCGGGGAGCUUAGGAGGAUGUAUCUGCUAUAUGAAAUGUCUGGUGUGAUGGUAAUUUCCUUUGAGUUGCUGUGCUAUAAGGAGUCAAGACUGACUUCUAAGCCUUUGUGCAUGCAUUGGUUAGAAAUGAACUCUGAUGCUCUUUGACGGACUGAACUAAUCACUAUGAGCCCUUCUAUGACAAAAAAGCAUAUUCAAAGGAACUCCUCAUAGGAUUUAGCUAUUUACUGGUUUUAUUCAGCUAAGAUUUUGGUAUACGCUACAGUUGACUGUCCUUGCUCACGAUAAUCUCAUAUAGCAAUGCGUUCAUGGUGGGGGAAGUCUUCAUCUAAGGAUGUAAGGAGGAAAUCCAAGAAGGAACGUUUCAUUGAUACAAUAAGUAGGAAACUGAAGAUUUUCACCGAGGAAAAAUCGAGUGGUAAAUCUGGAUCAUCUCGAAGAAGAUGUAAUGAUAUUAUUUCAGAAAAGGGUUCUCAAUCAAGGGUUUCCAGGUCACCAUCACCAUCUACGCCAGCUUCAUGCUGUCAGAGCUUUGUUGAUAGGACUUCUUCUCAACCACUUCCCCUUCCUGAGGGUCACUUUUCUAAUGUACAUCUUGUCGACUCUGAGAACAGUGCAUCCAUAAAAUCAGUGACUAGUGGAGACUCCAAGCCAUCAUUGACUUUGCCUCUUCCCAUGCCUAGGCAUCCUCCAAAUGGACCAGCUGCUACAGGGGUUGACAAGGACUUACCAACUGCUUCUGUUUCAUGUGACAGCUCCAGUGACAGUGAUGACCCUGCUGACUCACGGCUUCUUAGCCCCCAAACAUCUGAUUAUGAAAACGGGAGCAGAACUGCCUUGAAUAGUCCUUCCAGUUUGAAGCAGAAGGUUCAAUCUCCUAUUGCAUCCAAAGCAAGUCCAGGAGAGUCUAACAAUCAGGUGAUCCCUACAUCUCCUAGACAGAGGCUUUUAAACUCUCAUGUGGCAGACUUACAGAUUCCUCAUCAUGGUGUUAUCUAUAGUGCUCCUGACAGCUCGAUGUCAAGUCCUUCAAGAAGUCCCAUGAGGGUAUUCGGGCAUGAACCGGUCAUGAACUUUGGUUUCUGGCUAGGGAAGCCACAUGGAGACAUAACCUUAUUAGGAUCAGGGCACUGCUCUAGUCCAGGUUCAGUCCAGAAUUCAGGACAAAAUUCAAUUGGAGGUGAUAUGUCAGCACAGCCCUUUUGGCCACACAGCAGGUGUAGUCCUGAGUGUUCACCUGUACCUAGCCCCAGAAUGACUAGUCCUGCUCCUGGCUCUAGGAUACAUAGUGGUGCUGUAACUCCUUUGCAUCCUCGAUCUGGUGGGACAUCGGCUGAAUCUUCCACAGCCUGGCUUGAUGAUGGAAAACAGCAAAGUCACCGGCUGCCUCUUCCUCCCAUAUCAAUCCCUCAUUCUCAUUUUUCUCCAUAUUCAGUGGCUCCUGCAAUUCCACGAAGUCCUGGUAGGACAGAAAAUCCUCCAAUCCCAGGGUCACGAUGGAAGAAAGGACGUCUGAUUGGCAGAGGCACAUUUGGACAUGUGUACCUUGGUUUUAACAGUGAAAGUGGUGAGAUGUGUGCAAUGAAGGAAGUAACACUUUUUUCAGAUGAUGCUAAGUCAAGAGAGAGUGCACAGCAACUUGGACAAGAAAUAUCACUGCUAAGUCGGUUGCGCCAUCCAAAUAUCGUGCAAUAUUAUGGAUCUGAGUCGGUAGAUGACAAACUAUACAUAUACCUUGAGUAUGUCUCUGGUGGUUCAAUCUAUAAAAUUCUUCAAGAAUAUGGUCAGUUGGGUGAGCUAGCAAUUCAAAGUUACACUAAGCAAAUUUUGUCUGGGCUAGCAUAUUUGCAUGCUAAAAACACAGUGCAUAGAGAUAUUAAAGGGGCAAACAUACUGGUUGACCCAAGUGGCCGCGUUAAAUUGGCAGAUUUUGGGAUGGCAAAACAUAUAACUGGUCAAUACUGUCCUUUGUCUUUCAAGGGAAGUCCUUAUUGGAUGGCGCCUGAGGUUAUUAAAAAUUCAAGUGGUUGCAAUCUUGCGGUAGAUAUAUGGAGCCUUGGAUGUACAAUUCUGGAGAUGGCAACGACAAAACCACCUUGGAGUCAGUAUGAGGGGGUUGCUGCUAUAUUUAAGAUUGGAAACAGCAAGGAACUCCCUUUGAUCCCCUACCACCUCUCAGAUGAGGGCAAGGAUUUUGUGUGGCAAUGUCUACAACGCAAUCCAUUCCAUCGUCCAACAGCUUCUCAGCUCUUGGAACAUCCCUUUGUCAGGAGUAGCGUUCCGGUGGAAAGACCCAUUCUAAGUCUUGAACCUGCAGAAAUAAUACCUCCACUCAUGCCUACUGUGAGAUCAGUGGCCGUCGGACAAUCACCUAAGCAUAUGAGUGGGAGACUCUCCCCCUCCAUCAUAUCAAGCCCCCGUGCUGUAUCUGGUUCAACAACACCUCUUAGUGGUGGCGGUGGUGCUGCUCCACUAUUUAACUCAAUGACCUAUUCAUCAGAAGGCAUAGGAACUUCUUCAAGGGCCCAAAGAAGCUUUCACCCUAAUGGUGAAACUAGUCACGAUCUGAAUCCUGACAUGUUUCGAGGGACUUCUCAAUCCCAUUUGAUCCAAGAAACACUUCCAUCUGACAAUGGUUUUGUUGGAGAUAAUUUUGGGGGCCCGGCUCAAAGGGGCGUGACUGAACAACCAUAUCAGGGACAGUCAGUAUUAGCUAAUAGGGUUGCGCAGCAGCUCCUGAGGGAUCAAGUAAAAUUGGGCCCAUCGUUUGACCUGAAUCCUGGCUCUCCAGUAUUUGGUCAGGAUAAUGGGGUUUAACUUGUAAAAGCCACCUGAAAAAAGAUGGAUGCGCGUGAAAUAUCUCUUGGAACAAUUGCACAGUAACUAUACCAAAAAGUCUGGUUUACUGAAUAAAAGUUUUGGAGCAGAUGAAAGGAGAAGGCGGUCACAAAAUACCAAUUUAUUUGCUGUUAGUUGCUAUUAUCACCGCCCAAGGAGCCAUGCAGCAGUAUAUUACAAUGACGUAUAAUUCAACUGGUUCAGAGAAGUUUAUAGUUUUGGUUCCACUUACAUGAUAGAGAGGUUGAAAUACAAGGAGGCAAAUGUGAAAAAAUUGUCGUACUUUUGUACAGGAUGGACUGAUUUUAAAGGCUAGAUGGGGAAUCUCAGGCUUGCUUGUAAAAUAUUUAUUGGUAAUUGUUCAUAGUAAAGCUCUCUACUACUCGUUUGAGCUUUUCAGCAAAAGCCUGUUGUAUCUUGUAUGAUGGUUCCCUGUAAGCCAGGUAUAAUACAACUUUCAGUAAUAAUAGUAAGCUUUUGAAGUUGAAUCAUGAA